GGUUGAACAUAGAGGGUUUAAUUGUAUACUUUUGUUGGGUGCCGGCACAUAUUGGGAUAGUAGGAAACGAAAUAGCGGAUAAGUUAGCAAAAGAAGCGUUAAGGAAAGAAUUGAUAGAUAUUAAGAUACCUUUAGGAAGAAAUGAAGUUAGAUCAAUAAUUAACAGAGAAAUAACAAAAAUAUGGCAACAAAGAUGGGAUAGUAGCAGUACAGGUAGGUGGUAUUAUAGUAUUGUUAAGUCAGUAGGGAAAAAAGAAUCGUGCUAUGGAAGGCAUAGAAAAGAAGAAGUAAUGAUUUCUAGACUAAGGAUGGGGCAUACAGGAUUAAACUCAACACUGGCAUUAAUGGGAAAACAUGGAAAUGAUCCAUUAUUCAUGUGGGCAAGGUAUACAGUAGGUGGCGGUAAUUCUCCUAAGGAGUGAACGGCCAUAAAACGGAAGGAAGAAGGAGAAGAAGAAGA
ensembl:lncRNA